rnacentral:rRNA from 1 species
AUACGAAAGGUGCAAGCGUUGUUCGGAUUUACUGGGCGUAAAGAGAGUGUAGGUGGUUUAUUAAGUCGGGUGUGAAAUCCCGGGGCUCAACCUCGGAACUGCAUUCGAUACUGAUAGGCUAGAGUUUGGGAGGGGUAAGCGGAAUUCCGUGUGUAGCAGUGAAAUGCGUAGAUAUACGGAGGAACACCUGAGGCGAAGGCGGCUUACUGGACCAAUACUGACACUGAGACUCGAAAGCGUGGGUAGCAAACAGGAUUAGAUACCCCUGUAGUCC